CGGCGUGCUUAACACAUGCAAGUCGAACGGAAAGGCCCUGCUUUUGUGGGGUGCUCGAGUGGCGAACGGGUGAGUAACACGUGAGUAACCUGCCCUUGACUUUGGGAUAACUUCAGGAAACUGGGGCUAAUACCGGAUAGGAGCUCCUGCUGCAUGGUGGGGGUUGGAAAGUUUCGGCGGUUGGGGAUGGACUCGCGGCUUAUCAGCUUGUUGGUGGGGUAGUGGCUUACCAAGGCUUUGACGGGUAGCCGGCCUGAGAGGGUGACCGGCCACAUUGGGACUGAGAUACGGCCCAGACUCCUACGGGAGGCAGCAGUGGGGAAUAUUGCACAAUGGGCGGAAGCCCGAUGCAGCAACGCCGCGUGCGGGAUGACGGCCUUCGGGUUGUAAACCGCUUUCGCCUGUGACGAAGCGUGAGUGACGGUAAUGGGUAAAGAAGCACCGGCUAACUACGUGCCAGCAGCCGCGGUGAUACGUAGGGUGCGAGCGUUGUCCGGAUUUAUUGGGCGUAAAGGGCUCGUAGGUGGUUGAUCGCGUCGGAAGUGUAAUCUUGGGGCUUAACCCUGAGCGUGCUUUCGAUACGGGUUGACUUGAGGAAGGUAGGGGAGAAUGGAAUUCCUGGUGGAGCGGUGGAAUGCGCAGAUAUCAGGAGGAACACCAGUGGCGAAGGCGGUUCUCUGGGCCUUUCCUGACGCUGAGGAGCGAAAGCGUGGGGAGCGAACAGGCUUAGAUACCCUGGUAGUCCACGCUGUAAACGGUGGGUACUAGGUGUGGGGUCCAUUCCACGGGUUCCGUGCCGUAGCUAACGCUUUAAGUACCCCGCCUGGGGAGUACGGCCGCAAGGCUAAAACUCAAAGGAAUUGACGGGGCCCCGCACAAGCGGCGGAGCAUGCGGAUUAAUUCGAUGCAACGCGUAGAACCUUACCUGGGUUUGACAUGGAUCGGGAGUGCUCAGAGAUGGGUGUGCCUCUUUUGGGGUCGGUUCACAGGUGGUGCAUGGCUGUCGUCAGCUCGUGUCGUGAGAUGUUGGGUUAAGUCCCGCAACGAGCGCAACCCUUGUUCACUGUUGCCAGCACGUUAUGGUGGGGACUCAGUGGAGACCGCCGGGGUCAACUCGGAGGAAGGUGGGGAUGACGUCAAGUCAUCAUGCCCCUUAUGUCCAGGGCUUCACGCAUGCUACAAUGGCUGGUACAGAGAGUGGCGAGCCUGUGAGGGUGAGCGAAUCUCGGAAAGCCGGUCUCAGUUCGGAUUGGGGUCUGCAACUCGACCUCAUGAAGUCGGAGUCGCUAGUAAUCGCAGAUCAGCAACGCUGCGGUGAAUACGUUCCCGGGGCUUGUACACACCGCCCGUCAAGUCAUGAAAGUUGGUAACACCCGAAGCCGGUGGCCUAACCGUUGUGGGGGAGCCGUCGAAGGUGGGACUGGUGAUUAGG
rnacentral:rRNA from 1 species